rnacentral:rRNA from 1 species
UACGUAGGUGGCAAGCGUUGUCCGGAGUUAUUGGGCGUAAAGCGCGCGCAGGCGGUUGGAUAAGUCCAUGGUGAAAGCGCCUGGCUCAACUAGGCGAGUGCCGUGGGGACUGUUCAGCUGGAGUGGAGCAGAGGCGAGUGGAAUUCCGGGUGUAGUGGUGAAAUGCGUAGAGAUCCGGAGGAACACCAGAGGCGAAGGCGGCUCGCUGGGCUUUGACUGACGUUGAGGCGCGAAAGCGUGGGGAGCGAACCGG